GCCGGGGUAGUUCAGUGGUAGAACGCCGUCUUGGUAAGACGGAGGUCGAGAGUCCGAUUCUCUCCCCCGGCUCUA
rnacentral:tRNA from 4 species